rnacentral:siRNA from 1 species
AACUUAUGGUGUCAAAGAAGCGG